rnacentral:lncRNA from 13 species
AUCCUGUUUUGUGCUUGAAACCCAGGGCCCGGGUGUGGGCACCCGAAGGAAUCUCCUGGUCUGAGGGAUGUGAAGACCAUGGGAAAAGCAUAGUGUCUGGGCAAGAAUGCACCAUUUCUCAUGGAACAGUCCCUCAUUGCUUCCCUUGGCUAGGGGAGGGAGUUUCCUGACAUCUUGUGCUCCGAGGUAUUCAGUGACAUUUUUCUAAAUUGUUUAAAAUGAGAAGCAUUGCACACUGUGAGUCAAGAUCCAAGUGUCUUUGACUGAGCCCUCUCAGCUCUGCUAUUAUGGUGUGAUCCCAGGCAAGUCACUUAUUUUUCCUGAUAUUUAAAACAAAGAAAUUGAACAAGGUAGUGU